rnacentral:misc_RNA from 1 species
GAUGAAGAACGUAGCGAAAUGCGAUACGUAAUGUGAAUUGCAAAUUCAGUGAAUCAUCGAGUCUUUGAACGCACAUUGCGCCCCCUGGUAUUCCGGGGGGCAUGCCUGUCCGAGCGUCAUUGCUGCCCUCAAGCCCGGCUUGUGUGUUGGGCCCCGUCCUCCGAUUCCGGGGGACGGGCCCGAAAGGCAGCGGCGGCACCGCGUCCGGUCCUCGAGCGUAUGGGGCUUUGUCACCCGCUCUGUAGGCCCGGCCGGCGCUUGCCGAUCAACCCAAAUUUUUAUCCAGGUUGACCUCGGAUCAGGUAGGAAUACCCGCUGAACUUAAGCAUAUCAAUAAGCGGAGGA